GAUGAACGCUGGCGGCGUGCCUAAUACAUGCAAGUCGAGCGAACAGACGAGGAGCUUGCUCCUCUGACGUUAGCGGCGGACGGGUGAGUAACACGUGGAUAACCUACCUAUAAGACUGGGAUAACUUCGGGAAACCGGAGCUAAUACCGGAUAAUAUAUUGAACCGCAUGGUUCAAUAGUGAAAGACGGCUUUGCUGUCGCUUAUAGAUGGAUCCGCGCCGCAUUAGCUAGUUGGUAAGGUAACGGCUUACCAAGGCAACGAUGCGUAGCCGACCUGAGAGGGUGAUCGGCCACACUGGAACUGAGACACGGUCCAGACUCCUACGGGAGGCAGCAGUAGGGAAUCUUCCGCAAUGGGCGAAAGCUUGACGGAGCAACGCCGCGUGAGUGAUGAAGGUCUUCGGAUCGUAAAACUCUGUUAUUAGGGAAGAACAAAUGUGUAAGUAACUAUGCACGUCUUGACGGUACCUAAUCAGAAAGCCACGGCUAACUACGUG
rnacentral:rRNA from 1 species